AAUGGUAUGACUAUAGAUAGACUUCCGCAUCUCUUCACGUUAAAAAAAAUUAAAGCGACGAGAUCUCGAAGGAGUAAAAAGUUUGAACACUCAGUGAACUUUGCUUACUCUCAUGUUAUAGCCACCGAGCUUUCUUUUUACCACGAAUGGUCACUCAACUUGCUCAAAACCAAGUCCAUCCAUCACUGUACAUUCACCCGUUUGAUUUGCUUCCCAGGUGGCAAGACAGAGUCCAGCGUGGCAAGAGACGACGUCAUAACGUUGCCACGUGAAGAGUUGUGUCCCAACAAAACAACUAUUUCACCCAAAAAAUUACAAACCCACCUUCAAAUCAAGGAGCCCCAAUCUUCCAAGCUGGAAACAAACCCUAGAAAUCCCUCCCAAAACUCAAGAUUCAAUCCCUUGAUUUCCUCAAACCUCAAAUGAACCCUAGAAAUCGAGUUGGGAACAGCGACGGGUUGCCGUAUUCUUGUCUCUUUCUCGGGGGUGGUAGGAGCGAGAGAGCUUCUCCGUCCCUCCAAUCAGUGAAGUCCGACCACUUUUGAAAGGGUGACGAUUCGCACGUAUUGAUGGAGCAGAUGGAGAGAUCCCGCCAGCAGAUCCAAUUAUACAUUUUCCAGGUCGCUUAGAAGGCGGUGGCACUCUGCAAAUCGAAUUGGGGGAGAGUUCUGAUGGGAAUGGAUUUAGGCAAUGGGUUCAGAAUUUAGGGACAAUGGGGAAUUUUGAUUCUUUCAAUGAAGGAUCGUGUUUUGUAGCUUGAAAUCAUGUCCAUGUUGGCUGAGUUUGACGCCGUCCAAUUGCCACGUUGGCUGCCAUCAAGCCAUGUGGGACGGUUACAAACGGCUGGGACGCCAGGUGUUUGAUGGUGUGGUGCGUUUGGAAGGUCAGCGACCGUUCAGCCGCAAGAGGAAGUUCAGUGACCACAACGUGACAUAGGGGAAGUUAGGUGACUAAUCAAACUUUUUACUCAAUCUCAAAGCUACAGUGAUCCUCGCAGAUCUAAAGGACAAGAAAGUUGGCAUGCUGUAGCUGAUUUGAAUUCUAUGUGAAAGACUAUCUUGACAAAUA